CCGACAACCCGGCACACUCCCGGCGUAAUCGCCGCCUGCCCGCAUUCUCAUCUUCCCCGCCGCCGCCUCUGCUCCAUGCUGUCGCCUGUCCACCCUGCGAGCCCCUCCGUGUCGCUGGCUCGGGGCAGGGAGGCGGCGGCUUGCGAUGCGCUUGCGAGCACGGACGCGCUCUGGGUCCGCUCCGGUGCUCCCGCUAGGCGGCGGGGCCCUCUGAUGCGGGGCAAGGCGUGCUGCGAGAUGAGUUGCGGCCCCAUCGCCGCGCGCGGCGCUGUGGUGCCUGGGCACGCCGCGCCCAUGGUCUUCUCGCAACGCGCGCGCGUCCGCGGACAUUAGCCGUACCUGCGGUAGCGUCGGGAUCUCCAGACGUUCGUCGCCGUCGGGCUCCUAGUGAUUGAAUCGACACAUCCCUGGCUGACUCCUCUGUUCGUGCAGCUCCCCUACCAUGCUGUUUGCUUAUAGAAUGUGAAAAAAGGGGGGGGGGGGGGUCAAAAAACAGAUUUGUUAUUGCUGCUGCAGGAAGAGAGAUUUUGGAUUGGGUUUGAAAGCAACGGCGAAAAACAUCAAAGGGAUUCUUGACGGGCUCGCCGAGCAUUCUAAGCUGGAGUGUGCAGGGGGAAUUCAGUUAGCAUUUCAUCUCAUGAGGGCAAAAGGAGUAGCACCACAUAACCAAAGCCACACAUAGGCAUACCGUAGAGGCAGAACCACUCCUGCAGCAGGCUCCCACGCCAGGUGUUUAAUCCCAGGGUUCCUCUGUGCAACUCAAAGCUAGGUUGCUAUGAAGUACCAACUUUAAAUGUAAACAAUAUAUGACAUCAUAAUUUUAAUUCCUCAUUGCUACUUGACGGUACUUCUUUUUAUAAUCACUACUAGGAUUGAAAAGAAAUGUUUAUGCUGGAUUGUGCUGUUCAGUUAACCAGGAAAAUGAGUUUAAACAUUCUUUUGA